rnacentral:rRNA from 1 species
CCUACGGGUGGCAGCAGUGAGGAAUAUUGGUCAAUGGGCGUAAGCCUGAACCAGCCAAGUCGCGUGAGGGAUGAAGGUUCUAUGGAUCGUAAACCUCUUUUAUAAGGGAAUAAAGUGCGGGACGUGUCCCGUGUUGUAGGUACCUUAUGAAUAAGGAACGGCUAACUCCGUGCCAGCAGCCGCGGUAAUACGGAGGAUCCGAGCGUUAUCCGGAUUUAGUGGGUUUAAAGGGUGCGUAGGGUGUUUUUUAAGUCAGCGGUGAAAGUUUGUGGCUCAACCAUAAAAUUGCCGUUGAAACUGGAAGCCUUGAUUGUGUUUGAGGUAGGCGGAAUGCGUGGUGUAGCGG